rnacentral:lncRNA from 1 species
CUAAAAUACUUUUUAGAUGACCCUGAUAUGUACAUUGAGGUCUUUAGAGGACCUACUCAGACCUAUGGCCUAGAUUGAAAAGAUGUAAUGUUGCUCUUAAAUCCAACAUUGAUUUCUAAUGAGAAAUAAGUAGUAUUACAAGCUGUUACUACAUACAGAGACAGAUAUUUUAAUUUUGGAAGCUCAAAAAGACAGGCAUCCAGGGAAACAAUUGGUUUCUACUAGAAUACAAGCAGUUCCUAUACAAGACCCCCACUGGCCUGCCAAUCAGAUACGAGAUUAAAUAGAAGACAUUUUCAGGCAUGUAUUCUUGACGGUCUAAUAAACAUUAGAACUCAGUCCUUCAAUUAUUUUAAAUUGUCAACUUUUUAUCAGGAAAAAUAAGACAUCUCUACAUCCUGAUUUGAUUAAAGGAAAUACUAUCGUUUUUCCCAAGUCAGAGUCUUGCAAUAUGUAGAUGGUAUGCUGUUAUGUGUCCCCUCAGAAGAGCUUUCUAGCCAAGACAUCUGCUCUGCUGAAUUUUCUGACAGGGGUUAUAAUAUUUCUAGAUCGAAGGCACAACUUUGCAGCCUUGAGCUCAAGACUCUAAAACAGCUAAGGACAUUCAUGGAAAUUACAGGCUUUUGUGGCCUUCAGAUAGUAAUAUAUAGUGAGAUUUCGCGACCCAUCUAUUAGCUUAUAGAAAAGCCCAAGAGACAGACACCUGGGAACUUCAUUCCCAGACCUCAUUCCACAAGUUCAAACAAGCACUUCGAAGUGCCUACCUACAGGACACUGUUUCAGUCUGUAUAUUAAUAAAAGGAAAAACUGUCACAGGUAGACAUCUGCAGCACGGCAGGUUGGAGCCUUGCCAGGCCUUCUUCCCUCACUGCGUGGAAUUUGUACUUACCUCCAAAGAGUGUCACCUAGUCUCUUCUACAUCCAAACCUGGCCUGAGCGGACCCCACUGGAGAUAGUGCAGGCUACUUCUGCUCCCUCCUACUAUGGACUAGACUCUUGACUUGCUUCCAGUGGAUAGAAAGAGGCGGGAAGGAAGGUGUGAAAGACCACCAAGGCCCAAUGGCUUCCUCCUUGCUCUCCUGCAUCUGGGCUCUCUCACUUUGGGAGAAACCAGCAACCAUGCGGUGAGGAUGCUCAGACAGCUCCCCAGAGAC